rnacentral:rRNA from 1 species
UACAGAGGUCUCAAGCGUUGUUCGGAUUCAUUGGGCGUAAAGGGUGCGUAGGCGGCGCGGUAAGUCGGGUGUGAAAUCUCGGAGCUUAACUCCGAAACUGCAUUCGAUACUGCCGUGCUUGAGGACUGGAGAGGAGACUGGAAUUUACGGUGUAGCGGUGAAAUGCGUAGAUAUCGUAAGGAAGACCAGUGGCGAAGGCGGGUCUCUAGACAGUUCCUGACGCUGAGACACGAAGGUCAGGGGAGCAAACGGG